GGAUCAUUGUCGAAAUCGAACGGAAGAACGACCCGCGAAUCGUCAUUGCGUAGUAGACAGAGCCCGUGAGCACCUAACGCUCAUGGGUCUCGCGUCGCGUCGGCGCGGGUGUACUCGAGACCCGCGUCGUACCGGCGGACAAACAACGUCAGCACGGAUCGUGCCAAGGAGCUGCAUGGAGAGAAUCGUCGUCCCCCGCCUUUGAUAGUCCUCGACGCGGGACGGGGGACGUACGCAAUCUCUACUCAAAAGUCUAAACGACUCUCGGCAACGGAUAUCUCGGCUCUAUGCGAUACUUGGUGUGAAUUGCAGAAUCCCGUGAACCAUCAAUUCUUUGAACGCAAGUUGCGCCCGAAGCCAUUCGGCCGAGGGCACGCCUGCCUGGGCGUCGUGAAUCCCCUUGCCCCUAGGCACCCGCACGAGCAUCGGCGGGGACAUAUCCUCGGGCGCAGAAUAUGGUCUCCCGUGGGAUCGGCAUGCACGGCAUGACGAGGCGCGGUUGGCCGAAAAUCGAGCAUGGCGGUGACGGGCACCACGGCGUUCGGUGGAUCGAAUGAGAUUGGCUGCGUCGUGGGCUCGGCAUGCGGCGGGCUCCGGACUUUGAAUAUCCCCGAGUGCGAUCCCAGGUCAGGCGGGGCUACCCGCUGAGUUUAAGCAUAUCAAUAAGCGGAGGAAAAGAAACUAACGAGGAUUCCCUUAGUAGCGGC
rnacentral:rRNA from 1 species